AUUAAGUUAAAUGGAAUCAAAUUAACGAAAAUGAAGUAGGGGAGGGUGUGUGCAUUGUGGCAGGUGUUCCUGAAGAAAAAGUUUUGGCUUGAGCCCAAACUGAACCAAGCUACGAACAGCCGAAACAGUUUAUCCAUAGCAAACAAGUCCGAUACAAACGAACCAGGUCUCCAAAUAGCAACGCAACAUAAAAACUUCAUCGCCACCGAAAUUGAAUAAACCAUCAUUCAAACUCAAUUCAUCUUCGUGUGUGCAUAAUCAGAAAGAAAUGAAAUCGAAUUGAAGCAAAAAAACUCACCGAAUCAGAGUUUCAAAACGAACAGGUGGAUGAAUUUGGAAUAUUGUAAUUGAGCUGUUUGGAAUAUGAUCAUAGGCCAUGUGGAAUUGUUUGGGAGCUGCUUGGGAAGUGCUAAUGGAAUGGAUUGCUAUGGAACUUAAAUUGUGUAUUGGUUGAAAUUGUAAUUUUUGGAUUAAAAUUGUAUUUGCACAUGGAAUAUAUGGUUGAAUGUUUGGCUUGUGUUUGAAAUUUGAAUUAAUUGUUGAAUGUAUGAGAAUAUAAUUGAAGACGUGAAUUGGUUUGUGGUUGUAAUUGGAAAUUGAAUGAUUGAAAUUUGUUAUGGGAUUUUGAAAUUUCAAUUGAAAUUUGAAUGGAAAUGGAUGGUAUUUGUA